GAUGAACGCUGGCGGCGUGCCUAAUACAUGCAAGUCGAGCGAACAGACGAGGAACUUGCUCCUUUGACGUUAGCGGCGGACGGGUGAGUAACACGUGGAUAACCUACCUAUAAGACUGGGAUAACUUCGGGGAACCGGAGCUAAUACCGGAUAAUAUAUUGAACCGCAUGGCUCCAUAGAGAAAGAAGGUUUUGCGGGCACUUAUAGGUGGAUGCGCGCGGCAUUAGCUAGGUGGUAAGGUAACGGCUUACCAAGGCAACGAUGCGUAGCCGACCUGAGAGGGUGAUCAGCCACACUGGAACUGAGACACGGUCCAGACUCCUACGGGAGGCCGCAGUAGGGAAUCUUACGCAAUUGGCGAAACCCUGGCCUGGCCCCGCCACGUGACUUAUGAAGCUCUUCGGCUCGUGAAACUCUGUUAUUAGGGUAGAACAAAUGUGUAAGUAACUAUGCACGUCUUGACGGUACCUCAUCAGAAAGCCACGGCUAACUCCGUG
rnacentral:rRNA from 1 species